UACGAAGGGGGCUAGCGUUGCUCGGAAUCACUGGGCGUAAAGGGUGCGUAGGCGGGUCUUUAAGUCAGGGGUGAAAUCCUGGAGCUCAACUCCAGAACUGCCUUUGAUACUGAAGAUCUUGAGUUCGGGAGAGGUGAGUGGAACUGCGAGUGUAGAGGUGAAAAUUCGUAGAUAUUCGCAAGAACACCAGUGGCGAAGGCGGCUCACUGGCCCGAUACUGACGCUGAGGCACGAAAAGCGU
rnacentral:rRNA from 1 species